GUCUUCUACCUGUAAGCAAUUUGGAAAUACUAUUAAUAGUAUUAACAUAGGGUUUUUGCAGUGUGUGGGUUUAUUUCUUAUUAUAUUUAUAAUCACCCCCACCACUACCUUCCCACCCCUAGCUCACCAUCCGAGGAGCUGGCAUCAGGAAACUCAAGAAAGAAGGAAGGAAGGAAGGAAGGAAGGAAGGAAGGAAGGAAGGAAGGAAGGAAGGAAGGAAGGAAGGAAGGAAAGAGGGAAGGAAGAAAGGAGUGCAGAAGGAAGGGAAAGGUUGUCCAGGCUUCACAGGAAGAACUGCAUUUGUAUUAUUCUGUAUUGAAUUCUCAGGACCUCCACAUUGCAGGCAUCUAGAGGUUCUAAUUAAUAGUUGAUAAAUCUUGAAGGGAGGAAAAAAUAGUCACAGAAAGUUCACUGGAGUGACCUGAAAUUCCACAGCAAUUUAGCCAGGAAGCUGGGAGGAGAAUAUGCCCUUCCAACUUGCAGGCCAGCUCUCUGCAGGAAGCCAGUCAGCUCUCCCAGGGGAAGCAGUGGCCAGGGCCAACAUGGGUCUUGAAGCUCAGGACUGGCUUUAGGACUGUGGCUCAGACAAGAUGGGCGGCUCAAAGCUCUUGGCACCAAGUAGCUAUGAAGACUCUGAGACCUGGACCAUCCCAAGGCUGUAGCUUUCUUUCCUCAAGUCUGGCAGGCUCUGUCGCUGUGAAGAGUCUGAAGGCUUUUUCUUUUCCAGAUAUAAUUAUUAACCAACAUUCACAUCAGAUUCGCAAUUGGAAAGCCAGCUGUUAAACACUUACCAGCUCACUACUGGAAAGAAGUAUAUAUGGACUACUCCCUUGGGAUUCCAGAAGAAAGAACGUUAUAGAACACCUACAACUUGGCAAUCAGGGGCCUGAGGUACAGCUGAAGUACAGCUGUGGAACAGGAGAUGCUAAUUCCUGGGAAGAGAGCAACACAGAUUUUACAGUCAGCAGCCAGAGGCUACCCUCAGAACAGGAAUGUGAAAAAUAAACCAGAUAUGCUAAACUGAAAUCUACCACUGGACACCAACAAGGUUAAAUGGUAGAAAAGCCAUAAUCACUUCUAAAUUCAAGGGUAGGAUUAAUACUAUAUUUUCACAGUACCUGAAAGUUCUGUGGCCUUUCCUAGACACCAGUUCAUGUGAUUAACAGAACAGAACUGAGGUUGAGGGGAAAGUUAGGUAUCAGCAUUGGGCCCAUUUUACAGAUGGGAAACUGAGGCAGUGGAAGGUAAAAUAGUUUGCCCAAGGUUACUUUUUCUGCAUAAAUGGCUACCCUGGGACUAGAUGGGGACAGAACUACCACAGACUUGGGGGUCAGACAUACUUUGGUUAAAAACUCAACCUUGACAUUUAUGUAACAUUGGUAACGUUACUUUACCUUUUUAAGCCUUGGGUUUUUUGUUUGUUUGUUUAAACUUACAAAAUGGGGAUGAUAAAGCCUAGAUUCCAAGUUUGCAGUGAGGGUUAGUUUAAGAUGAUGAUAGAUGCAAAGGACCUGAUGAUUGGGAAGUCUUUGCACCUCCUAUCGUGUACUUAUAUUACUUACAUUUGAUUUUGAAAUACAAUAUAAAACUCUUUUGGCUAACGUA